GGGCCCGUUGCAUAGCUUGGAUAGUGCGAACGCUUGCGGAGCGUUAGGUCAAGGGAUCGAAGCCCUUCGGGCCCG
rnacentral:tRNA from 1 species